rnacentral:rRNA from 1 species
UACGAAGGGGGGCUAGCGUUGUUCGGAAUUACUGGGCGUAAAGCGCACGUAGGCGGAUAUUUAAGUCGGGGGUGAAAUCCCGGGGCUCAACCCCGGAACUGCCUUCGAUACUGGGUAUCUUGAGUUCGGAAGAGGUGAGUGGAAUUGCGAGUGUAGAGGUGAAAUUCGUAGAUAUUCGCAGGAACACCAGUGGCGAAGGCGGCUCACUGGACCAUUACUGGACGCUGAGGCACGAAAGCUAGGGGAGCAAACAGGAGUUAGAAA